rnacentral:rRNA from 1 species
UGGGGAAUCUUGCGCAAUGGACGAAAGUCUGACGCAGCCACGCCGCGUGAGUGAAGAAGGCCUUCGGGUUGUAAAGCUCUGUCGUGCGGGACGAACAUCAUUUGGGUUAACAGCCCAAGUGACUGACGGUACCGCAGAAGGAAGCACCGGCUAACUUCGUGCCAGCAGCCGCGGUAAUACGAGGGGUGCAAGCGUUGCUCGGAAUUAUUGGGCGUAAAGGGUGGGUAGGUUGUCUCGUUUGUCUGAGGUGAAAUCCCCGAGCUUAACUUGGGAAGUGCCUUGGAAACGGCGAGACUAGAGUUCUUGAGAGGGUAGCGGAAUUCCCGGUGUAGCGGUGAAAUGCGUAGAGAUCGGGAGGAACAUCAGAGGCGAAGGCGGCUACCUGGAAAGACACUGACAC